rnacentral:tRNA from 1 species
GCCUCUGUAGCUCAGUUGGUUAGAGCGCUGCACCGGAAUCGCAGGGCCGUAGGUUCAAUUCCUACCAGAAGAC